UUCCUUAUUCCAUGCCAGCUCGUCCGCUGAUAUGACAUUGUUCCUGACUUUUCCUCCUUAUGCAGCCAUUUCUAGAGCGGCUGUUCACAGCGGAUGCCUUGGUCCUCUGGCUCCUCAGAUCUUUCAGCUCCCUAUUCGUUUGCUUUUCCUGAACCAUAGACAAAGGUGCUGUGUGUCCGUGUAUUCCCUGCAGCUGGGCUCCUCAUGACCUGUUGAUUUCUGCAUUGUGUCCAGUUGUGGUUUUCCGUGAUGGGCUCCAUUUGCUGUGAAGAGAGGCCGCUCUGAUGAGGGGUGGGAGCUGCACUGACCCAGGAAAGGACUUACACUGGCCACAAGCAGUUUGAUGUUCAGCUAGAAAACAAUCACAGAUAUCACGACAGAAUUGAUUUACACUGUUCUCUGAACAUCUUGGAUGAGGCCCCUCAGAGCAGAGGUGACAAGGUUGGAAUUCCGCCUUGCAGGACAAGUUGUGUCCUCUGGAUAAACAUAAUAGAGGGAGCAUGCUGUUGCCUUGAGUAAAAUCCUGGGCAGAAGCAGCUCAGGAAGAGGUGGGUUCAACUGUUUCACAGUUCAUCAGCCUUGGAAAGCAGAGACUUUACAGCCUGGCAUGGUGUUGCAUGCCACAAGCAGGUGGAUCUCUGAGUCUGAGGCCAGCCUGGUCUACAGAGUGAGUUCCAGGACAGCCAGGGCUAUACUGAGAAACCCUGUCAUGAAAACAAAACAAAACAAAACCAAAAAGAAACUUGAUGCUUCUGGUCACUUUGCACCUGCAGCCAGGAAACAGGAAGAGAUAAACAAAUGUGUGUGCUUACCUAGCCUUCUCUUUUUUAUGUAGUCCUAGACUGGUGGUUUGCAUGAGAAUGGUCCCCAGAGGCUCAUAUAUUUGAAUGCUUGGUCCCUACUUGGUAGGUCUGUUCUGGGAAGUUAUUAGGAAGUGUAGCCUUGUUGGAGGUGUGCCACUAAGGGUGGGCUUUGGGGUUUUAAAAGCCCAUGCCAGGAAGAGUCUCCCUCUCUCUCCCUUCUCUCUGUGCUCUGUGGUUCACAUCUCAAUCUGGAAGCUCUCAGCUACGGUUCCAGUGCUAUCACGCCUGCCUGCCACCAUGUUUCCUGACAUGAGGAUAAUAAAGGACUCACUCUCUGAAA
rnacentral:lncRNA from 1 species